CAUUCUAUCUCCAGCCGACUCAGGUCUGAUUCACUCUCCACAUAGACUUCCCAUGAGGCUUAGCAGCACCUCCAGGACAAGCAGAACUCAAAACUCUCCACGUCUCUCUCUCAUUCUCUCUCUCCCUCACCCUCUCUUUCUCUCUCUCUCUUUUCCAGGUCCCCAUUCAGUCCUUCUCCAACUCCUCCUCUAGAACUCCACAGAAAAUAUGAUUGGCCAAGGUCAAUUAAAUAGUUGCCCUAUGGCCAGCUGCUCCAGUUUGAUCGAAGGGACUGAGUCUAAAAGAAGACAGAACCAUGUGAUUCUCCAAGAAUAUGUCCUCUGCAGGAAGGACUCACAGAGGCAAUAAAAAAACUUUCCAGAGAAAGUGUUAUUUGAAAUGAACAUCACAAUUGAGUGCAGAUGUCUUCGUGACCUGGCAAUAAAAAGGGGCUCAUACACAAUGGAUGAUGUGAUUCCCUACUGAAUUGGGGUCUCCACAAGAAGACCUUGCUGCCAACUGUUCUUUCUUCUUACAUUUGGCACAUUGAAAUUUCACACAGUAUCUCAUCAUCAGAAAGGAAGCUUGUUAAAAUAUGGAAAACCAAACCUGAAGCCUUCUGGCUGUGUGACAGGUGCAUUCUCUGGAGAAAAGAUACCAAAAAAUUUCAAAUAAUCAAAUACGGCAAAAAUAACAGAUUCUCUUAACCAUUGGGUCAAAUGUUUCCUCCAUGAAUUAUAAUCUAGCCAGCCUUUGCACUGUUGUUCUCUUUGCCUGAGAAAUUCAGUUAUUUUAAGUCUUUCUUUAUAAAAGGCCACUAUGCAGCUGUGAAGAAAAAAUUGGCAUCACACUGAUUCCUCAAAUCAUCAUUUCUAAAUGUUUCUGCAAAAUUUUCCUAUAAAGAACCUUGGACUAGAAGGAAGCAAAAAGACUUUUUAAAAAAUCACAUAGACUGUGCCAGAGUCUGUGCUAAAUUAUACAGGCAACCCACAAAAAUAGCUUCUGGAAACCUCUUCCUCCAGACAUAACUGCCAGAAGAGUGUCCCCCCAUUGCUCCUACCAUGGGAAACUCCUUUCUAUUAGGAGAGCUUCCCAGUCUCUGUUGCAGUGGUGGGGAGUCAUGGAAACAGCAAGAAUUUUGGAAUCAGGGAAUAUGGAGUUUGAAUCACAGAUCUGAGAAGUAUUAACAUGAGACCAUAGGAAAGGUUAACAACCACUCUAAAACUCUAUUUCCUUGUCUGUGCAAUGAGAAUGAUAAUGCCUCUUCUGCAGAGCCCCAGGCACAAAAUAGUUUCAAAAUAAAUGGAAGUUAGUAUUAUUAUUAUUACCAUGGAUCAAGACUAAGUUUCAUAACUAUACUUCAACAUUCCUCACCAAACCAUCUGGGUUUUGCUAUAAUUACACAGAAAUGAGUCUAUUAACUUGCACUGUGGCACACGGCAGCCCCCAAUUAUCUUUCCAGGACAAGAACAAUAUCUUUAAUAUCCGUAUAAUGCUGGCUAUAAGACAAUGCUGCUUCCACCAAAACAAGCCGGAUCCUAAAAACUGCCUAUGGGAGCUGGUCAGAACCUUUUUUCUUCUCUGGACUCAUCGAUCACAUAUGUCUCUCAAAGGAGGAAUAAAUAAACCCACGAGUCGGCAAACUGUGUUAAACAUAUUCUCUCAGUUUGAAAUUCUUGAUUAUACUCCCAAUUGAUUUAUAAUUUCAUACGUUUUUCAGUUUUUAACUCAAAUCAUCUGGUAUCCACUUAAAAAAAUAAAUCUGUAAGACCAUCAUAUAUUCCUUCAACAAGUAUGUUUAGAAUUCCCAACUAUGUGCCGAACACAAAGAAUAGCCUAUACAGGUCUAUCAGACUUUGCAAAUUCAAGAGUGCAUAAAAAUAUUACUGUAAGGGGACACUACUUUUUUUGGGGGGGGAAUGAGGAGAAUAGGAGUCAAGGGGUCUAUUUAAUGUGCUACAAGGGACAAAUGUCCCAUGUAGUCCUUGUUUCUGCCCAGCUGGAGGUAGAGUGACUCUCUGGGGAAAUAAAGUCUUCCUGACAAGGAGGCUUCAAUAGCAUUUGUCACUAUAGACUUUAUUUUACCAGUAGAAAGGGAACACAAAAAUGGAGCAGUAACACUAUCUUGCAGGGACACAGCAAACAUCCUGCAGGGCCUAAAGGAAAGAAGAAAGCCUAUUCUAAGCAUCAAUUGAUAAAACUCAGUGUUAAUACGUUGUGUUUGAGCAAGUGCACAAGUUCCUAAAAGUAGAAGUUGAUAGGACAUUUUAACUUAAAAGAGCAAAUGCGAGGAACAUAUUAAACAUGAGAGUCAGGGGAGAGGAUUCACAAAGGCCAAACUGAUGCUUUACACAACAUGUUAGGAAAUGGGAAGACAUGGGACAAAUACCAGAACACAACACAUCUAGCGUAUGUAGUAAACAGUACACACAACACAUGAUGCAUUGGUGUGAGGAAUAAAAUGCAGAUUGUUCUGAGAGGAUAAGCCGUAUUACCUUAAAUAAAUCUUUCAUUAGGUACUAAAGUUCCUCCAAAAGCAAUUAACUGUUGACGCAGGAAUUCCCAUUGUGGUUCAGCUGUGACAAACCCAACUCAUGGGUAUGAGGACUUGGGUUUGAUCCCUGGCCUCACUCAGUGGGUUAAGGAUCCCCAUGGCUGUG